rnacentral:rRNA from 1 species
CCCUUAGAUGUUCUGGGCUGCACGCGCGCUACACUGAUACUUUCAGCGAGUCCACCACCUUGCCUGGGAGGGUGGGGUAACCUCUGGAAAGUGCAUCGUGAUGGGGAUCGAUUAUUGUAAUUAUUAAUCUUCAACGAGGAAUUCCUAGUAAGCAUGUGUCAUCAGCCCGUGCUGAUUACGUCCCUGCCCUUUGUACACACCGCCCGUCGCUACUACCGACUGGUAAGAUAUCUAAGGAGCAUGGACGUCGGCAGACGCGGUUCGCGCCGUGUCUGCGGGCAGAAGCGCCCCGCAGAUUUCUUGCUGGAGGAAGUAAAAGUCGUAACA